GAUGAACGCUAGCGGCAGGCCUAAUACAUGCAAGUCGAGGGGUAGAAGCUUUCGGGCUUUGAGACCGGCGCACGGGUGCGUAACGCGUAUGCAAUCUGCCUUGUACUGAGGGAUCGCUCAGAGAAAUUUGGAUUAACACCUCAUAGUAUUUUAGUGUGGCAUCACAUUAUUAUUAAAGGUUAUGGUACAAGAUGGUCAUGCGUCCCAUUUGCGAGUUGGUAUGGUAACGGCAUACCAAGACUACGAUGGGUAGGGGUCCUGAGAGUGAGGUCCCCCACACUGGUACUGAGACACGGAGGAGACUCCUACGGGAGGCAGCAGUGAGGAAUAUUGAGUAAUGGUCGGAAGACUGAAGCAGCCAUGCCUCGUGCAGGAUGAAGCAUCUAUGGUGUGUAAACUGCUUUUGUACGGGAAGAAAUACCGCUACGUGUAGCGGCUUGACGAUACCGGAAGAAUAAGGAUCGGCUAACUCCGUGCCUGCAGCCGCCGUAA
rnacentral:rRNA from 1 species